rnacentral:lncRNA from 1 species
GGGAUGCCAACAGGUCGGUUUCGGGGUGGGUUUUCAAAAACCCGAACCAAACUCGAAUAUGACGGAUUUUAAAAAUCCUUAUCCAAACCUGAACCCGAUCGAAAAUCUGAAACCUGAACCCGAACUCGAAUUCGGAACAAACCUGAACCCAACCAAAAAUCCGAAACCUGAUUCUCCGAGUUUCAAAAUUUGGAAACAUAUUAUACAGAAAACUAAAGUUCCAAAAUACAUAUUCAAAUACAACAUUAAGCAUUCAUGCCAUAUAAUAACUGCAUCCAAAUAUAAAAAGUAUAAACUCAAAUAGUUAAAAACAACAAUACAAUUUUCAAAUGUCUAAUAAAGGUUUCUAAAAAGUAAAAAAAAAAAGGAGAAGAUAGUUCCAUUGCCUAACAACCCAUAAAAAUUAAGAGACCAAAGUUAAAAAUACUAAUUAAAAAAAAAACAAAACAAAAAAUUUCUUAAAAGUUAAAAAGGAAAAGAUAUUUCCAUUGCCCCACAAUCCGUAAGAAUUAAGAAAAAUUAAAGUAAAAAAUGAGAAUAAAAAGGCACAUAGAUAUUAAGAAUCUAAGAAAGUAAGAAAUCCAUAUCAAUUUUUUUUUUUUUAAAUAUCUUACUUUUUUUUUCCGAGUUUGUAGCUUUUGGGGUGGAAGCAACGAGCCAAAGUGGCCAACAAGGGCCUAUUGUUUGCACGAACGUGGGGUGGAAGUGGAAAUGGAAAGUAAUUUUCGGUAAAAUCUGACCACUUCCGUUGUUUGGUUCACCGUAAUUUUAUUACGCCCGAAAAUCUAGUUCACCCAAAAUAAUAAAAUUGACUUCCCUCUCCCAUGGGACGAAGUCAAUUUCGGUGAGGUGAAAAAAGGCAAGAGUGGGAAUUGAUGUGUUAGGGUUACCCUUUCUCUACCCUUUCCUCUUCUUUAAUAUAUUUUAUGUUUAAUUUGUAUAUUUAGAAAAUGAUGAAAAAUGAAUUUGUUAAAUGUUAAUAAUUUUUUAAUUUUUAGAAUUUUAUUUGUUGUAUUAUUAUAAUUUAUAUACAAACAAAUAAUAUAAUUUUUUAAAUUUUAUUUUAUAAUUAUACAUAUAUAUAAUUAUAUACGUAUAUAAUUAUAUUACUUUUAAUUUAUUAUAAUUUAUUAUUCACUAAGUUACAAAUUUGACAAUGAUAUCACUUCGGAGGUAAGUAUACCAGGGGUGGAGAACUAUACUUUUUACAUCAUCUACUUCCUACCAAACAAACAACAGAACUCGUAAAACUGUACUUUCACAGUUAAAAACAAACAGCGGAAGUGAAUUAAUUUUCACUCCAACUCCACUUCAACCCAAAGUCCACUUCCACCCCAAGUUUACUUACGUUGAAACAAACAUGCCCCAAGAGGAUGGCCACCCCCUUGGCCUCUGUCAGGGAACGGAAAGGAAUUAACAGGGAGGAACAAGCACCCUUCUUUUGAGGCUUUUACUAUUAGGGUUGGGAAGGUUUUGAUUAUUAUGGUUUGGGUUAUAAAAUUAUGAGUGUUUUUUUGGCUAUUAGAUUCAGAUUUAAUAGUUUGAAUUUUUUUUAUAUAUUACAUUAUAUUAAAUUUGUUCGGAUUCGGAUUCAUAUUCGGGUUUGGGUUCGGGUCGGGUUCAGGUUCGAGUUCGAAUUUGUUUUUUAAAUAUCCAUACCCGAACUCGAAUCCAUCGGAAUCCAUAUCCAUAUGCAUUUACAUCAGAUAAAAUCAGCUCUGUUUGAAUUCAAAUUCAGAUAAAAUUCGAAUAUCCGUAUCCAUUAACAUUCCUACUUCCAACAUAUAAAAUAGGCCGUAAUAAGUCUAAAGAUUCUAGAGAAGAACUGCUGUUGCCUAAUGACCAAACCCUUGUGCGAUAUUCUAGCGAUAUUAACGACCCCUUGCAAAGUUGACCCAGUCAAUUUGGUGGACGCAGCCCAGAAUGGGCCCAAUCGCGCUCGCAGCCCAACAUGGAAAUAGUAAUAUCUUAGGCCCAAUAGACUUAAUCUGAGGGUUUAUGCGAACCCUCUCUCUAGUAAAAGCCGCGUCAGGAGAAACCCUAGUAAGCUCGGCGGAGAAACCCUAGUAAGCUCGGCCAUGGCGAAGAACAGGAACAAGAAGAAGAAGUACAACGGCGGAGCCGUCGCCAUGGACGUCUCCGAUGAAGGCGCUCGUGAUGCUCCUCAACGUACAGAACCUUUUUCUUUUUUCUCGCUGUUUUUCUUUUUUUUUUAAAAAAAAUUGUCCUUUUUUUUUUUUUUAACUACAACAAUUUUUUGCAGCUAUGGAUACAUCAGAAGGGAAAGCGACGAGUACGCCUCUUCUUGCAAUGAAUAGGUCCUUUUUUCCAAAACCCUUUUAUUUUGUGUUUUUUCGAACUUCUGGUUUAACAUUUGGUUUAUUUGUAAUAUUUAGUGAGAAUUUAUUGGAGAAAUUCGCUAAUUAGCUGUGAAUAUUGAAUUUUUGUUCCUCAAUUUAUCUCGUUUGGUCAUUCUCAUUAUGUUUAGGUUAAGAAAAUCUCCAUACAAAAAUAUAAUGGGAAAUAUUUUUUAGGGUUUGGGAGUUUUUCGAAGUAUCAUUAGCAUGUAUAUGAGUUAUAUUCUAUCGAUCCAUAUAUAAGUGAAAUGGCCUAGUGAUUCUAUAUUGACAUUUCGAAUUGGGCUGGAAUACUUUAAGAAGUACCAAGCACUCGGUAAUUUCCAUGUCGUCUCUGAUGAUGGAACAUCCGAAUCAACUAUUGACUUCAUUUAACAUCAUAUAUGGUAGUUAAACUUCAAAAGAAGCAAAUUUGCACGAUAUUUUAACAUUAUUUACGUGGUGAUCGUGUGAUCUCAAAUACACUAAGUUUGAGAGUGUGUGAACAAUAGGUAAAUAAAAUCGACGAAAUUGGGUUUCUAGGAAGUUCAUGUGCCAUAGAUUAUGUGUAAUGGUGCUGGCCUUCGAUUUGAAUGCCCCAUUAUUGGACGCAAUGUGGAACUGCCGAGGACUCAUAAUUUUAAUACUAUUCUAGCUCAACUCUUGGUACUUCUUUGUAUAACCUGUACUGACAUCGACGCUUGCUUCUCAUAUUAUACUCUGAAUGGCAUCAAGUUCGUUGCAUAAUGGUAGGAAAGCAUUAUGUGUACUAUGGUACAAAGGUGAAUUCUUGUUGAUCUCUUUACCCCACAAAGGAAAAAAAAGGAGAAAAUCUUGUUGAUCACUUGCAGAUGCAUCAUGAUUGAUCCUAAGUCUAUUUUUGGUUGGUGAUGUUUCUUAAAAGGAAGUUUAAAAGGAAGUUGAAUUGUGAGUUGGUCUUUUGCAUUAUUCUCUUGCAUUAAGUUGAAAUUCUAGACAGAAGGAUGUUAUGCAUGUGCCAGUAUUUAACGUAAGCUAAAUAAGAGAAAUUACAAAAGUUGAGAUUCAAUGAAAGAGAUCUAAUGACAAAUCAUUUUUCCUUCCACUACUUGUUUAAAAAGAAGUGUCUUCUCUUGUUGUUCAGCAUGCUAUUUAUACUUUCUUAACAAAAUUAAAAAGAAAUUAAAUACAAAGCUAAUAUUGAAUUGGGUAGAUUGUCCUGAAACUUCGAUAUAUUUGCUGAACCUCAAUGUAAUGUACAUUGGAAAUUUCGGACUAUUGAUGUGGUUAAUGUAAACGGGGAAUGACCUCGUAAAUUUGAAAGGCUAGGCCUUUAGAAAGGGAAAGAAGGAUAAGGUUAUUAUUUUGUUCCUUGAUCAUGAAAAGUGACCACUAUGUAAGCACUGUAAUGGAUUGAUGUAUCUAAUUAUCACGUAUAACUUGCUUGGCUCCUAAUGAAAAUGUAGCAUGUUUCUUAUUUUCAAAAAUAGGCUUAAAUCCUGUGACAUAUAUUAUAUCAAGUAUGAUUUACUUCCUGUAGAGUGGUUCUUACAGCGCAAAUUCCAAAUUCCCUUUACACAAUGAAGUUGGCCUUUGUGUAGACUAAAAAUCAGGAUGACUCAUAGUAUGGUCCAACUCUACAGAUAUGUAGGUUAGAUUUAAUUAAACCCAAUUGUAAUGUAAGUUAAUCUUAGCCAACUAGGUUAAUUGGAGUCUAUUAAGUAGAUUUGAUGUUAGCCAAAUUAAAGAAUUUAUUUCAUGUGUUGCAUGAAGAAUUGAAUCUUAAUUUUGUUUUGACUAGCUAGAGCUGUUGUAGAAUUGCUCUGUUUGCGUGGGUCUAAUGGAAGCUGCACUUUUUUUUUUGGGUCAAUCGCUUAGUACAAACAUAGAAUCAGAAGCUGUUGUUUGAACUAUUUUGCUCUUUGGGUGGCCAUGAAACUCAUCUUAGACUUUUUGCUAUCAUAAAAGCUAUGGGCUUUCUGUUCACCUAAUGCAAGAAUUGCUACUUGUUAGAGCAGAGUAGUUGCCUUGAGAAGCCAAGCCAAAGAAGCAGUUGUUUUUUCUCGAAAAAGUCAAUGAAUAGUAGGAUUUUAGUUGUCAGACUAACAUAGAAUCUUGCAACAUAAAUUAGGUGGUUUAACUUGCAUGAUUAUCAUAAUUGCAGGAUGUGGGUUCACUGUUUUUGUUUUGAUAUUUUCAAGAUUGUAAAACUUAUAUAGAAGUAUGAAUAUGCAGGUUUAGUUCAAUAGCAUUAGGCCAUUAACAAGAUUAAAUUCUGUUCCUGUUAGUGGGUUUCGGUUGCAGAGCUGAUGUGCUAUUUAGAAGGCAAUUUUUUGUGUCACUAAUAAUGUAUUCGACAAUGAAACCAGCUUAGAGAUAAUAAAUAGUGUCAGAUUAGGAUUAUUACGGGGGAUCUGAUAAGCUGAUGCUAUGUUGAAGCAGUUGUAAGUCGUAAGUUCAAGGUUUUUAUAGGACAUAGGUUAUAUUUGGUAACUGCAGCUGUACUGCUACUUAAAAUUCUAAUCGAUGGAAUGCUAUUUAUGUGUAGUUAUCCUGCUUCAUAAAAUUUCGGAUAUAAACUUGUUCAGCGAAAUACUAAACAUGGCCGCUUAAUGUUAUAAAUCAAAUUCAUAUAUGCAAAUCUCUUCUUUCAAGGGCUAUGGCAGUUAUCUUUAUAUUUGUCUAUAUUGCAACGACUAGUAUGACGGCGAUGUUGACUUGACCUAAUCUUGUAUUGAACCCAAAUAGAUUUGAAGUUUUGGUGAUACGUACUUGACCAAUUUUAUGAACGCAUUGGUUCUGUUUAGGCCCAAAAUGGUCUCUCAGAUUAACAAGUUAAGAAGCUGCACUGCAAAAUGAGGUAGAUUUUAUAACACCAAAUAUUUUUGAUAAGUUGAUCUGCUAGAUGGUUGGGUCGAGGAGAUUAAGUGCACAUAGUAAUGUAAUUAAUGUUUUCUAAUACUUCUUGCUUUGUUUUAACUUGCUUCUAUUGACCAAUGAUGUAUGAAUACUUCAUUUUACCUUUCUAGUUGUAUCAAAUAUGUAUUGGUUAUCGAUAAUCGCGCAACAUACACCCGAUGUACGUCGGAUCCUUCACAAAAAUAUUUGACAUUCUUACCGUAUAUUUGACGGAUAUGCAAAGGAUACUCAAGAUACGGGGGCAGAGUUAUUUUGACACUAAUUGAGGACGAAAUGAUUCUCAAGUGCUAGAUUCAAAAACUAGUUAUAUAAGUUAGCUUAUUUUUGCAUUGGGAUAGCACUUAACACCAUGAAUUUGUGGUUGAUAAAUACUGAAGAUUACCAUUGGUUCAAUUAAUUUUGUUUCUUGAUGAACAAAAAUCAACAAUGCUUAUAUUUUUACAUAAGUUAGUUUAUUGCUUUACAUUAGCUAAUCAUCCAACGAUUCUUAACUUUCUGCUAGUUGAGUGGUCUGUUACAUUUGGUUUCAUUGUAAAGGCAAAACCACAACCAACAAGAAUGUUAUUUAUGCUGAGGAAUUAUGAUCAAAUUGCUAAUUUAUAUAGUUAUUUACUUGCUGUUGAACAGAGUAGGGCAUAUGUACUAAAGUUUAGAGAACUGUGUAUUUCCAUUGCUUUUACAUUGAGCCCAUAGAUUAAUCUUCUUUGUAGAAAAUCUCUUAUUUGGAUAGUUACUCUAUUUUGCACUUUACUUUGGUCUCUCUCACUGUGACAACUUUGAGGUAGUUCUGUAAGCAAACCAAUUCUAGGUUUUCAUUCUCAUGUGCCAGAGAUUCUGCGUGAUUUGUGCUUUUUCUACUAGCGUGAAAUUAUUUUCGCCGUUACUGUUUAAAUAUUUCAUCGAGUAUUGUAAAUUUUUUGGUUGACUGACUUGGAUAUUGCUUAAUAAUGCUUUUUUGUGCCUAAUGAAUUAUUAGGUCAUUAGAAAUUCUCAUGCACUGUACUUGAAAAGCAUCUUGAAUUUGACAAUAUUCUCUUUGCAUUGGCACAGAAAAAUAAAAAAGGCACCCGCGAAGAGAUCUAAAAACGCCAGAAAGCUAAAAGCCGUUGCUAGAGCAGUCUCCAAGAACGAAAAAUCAGAGGAAAAGAUCUCAAAAAGAAAACACAAGCUGCUUAGAGUUCAAGCUGCCAAAUCCUUGUAUGAUUGAAGUGAGUGCGACAGCUUUUCUUUUCACAUAUUCACCAAAUGAUUCAUCUCAUAACUUAUUGGUCUCAAUUAGUUUAUCUAUAAUUGCUGUCUUAGUGUGUUAGUUUUGCCUCUUGUUAUUUCCAGGUUGAGUUCUGUGUCAAAAUUUCCUAAUUUGUGGGCUCAGCUUACAGGCCUAGCAGUUACAACAUCCAAAGCAGUUUUUGUGGAUUUGCUGCAAAAUGGCAAUUGGAUGUCUGAAGCUUUUUUUUUUUUUUUUUCUUUUUUGUUUUCUUUUUUCUGUAUUUAUUAUCCUUUCGUGUCACUGCAGUGGAGUAAUGUUAUAUAUUACAAUCAUAAUUAUAAAUUGAUUAUUACUUGGAAUACCAGCUAAACAACAUUCUCUUCUCUCUCUCUCUCUCCCUCUCUCACGCACGCACGCACGUGUGCUUGCUCGCUCUCCUCUGCAUUGUUUUUUGCUUAUGCCAUUGUUGUUAGUUACUGGAGCAACCGUAUUUACAUGUAUUCAUUACGAGCUGCUUGGUUUGAUGUAAUUUGUAAAUGCCAUGUAGCAUGUUUAAUUGUUAUUUCCGUUUAAGCCACAGUUGCUAGUCACUAAAGCAAUUGUGUUUAUGCGUAUUCACUAAAAGGGACCUCUUGGUUUGAUGAAAUUGUAAAUGUUGCAUUACUGGAUAUAUAAGUUGGAAAUGCAAUAUUACAAAAAUUCUGUAUGCAACUGAGUCCUACAACUAUAAUUUGUCUAAUGUGUUUGGGCGCGUAUAGAUGAAUGUCUCAUAUCAUAUGUAGAUCUUGUCGGUAGGAUGGUGAGAUUACCUUGUGCAGAAUUACAAGCACUGGAAAAUCGCCAAAUUGGUUGGUUACCAGAUCAUUUGAUUGAUAUCAAGUAACCAUAUGUCAAAAAAUUCCAAACCAUCAAAUUCAUCAACGCACUGUGCAACUUGAUUUAUCAAUCGGAGCCGUCACUGCGACCAAUCUUAUCUAAGCACCAUGAUCCAAAUUCGAAACCUAGGCGUCGGCUGGAUGUCAUGCCCUGGCCUAAUUUAGAAAGCAUGUUUCUGAAAAAACUAGAAUUUCUUUAAAAAAAAAAUAAGUAUCACAAACAGGUCCUGACCCAAAACAUGAAUAGACCAACUAUAUGCACAAAAGAUUUUUUAUCCUUAUGGAUAGAAUUUUUUCUGUGCAUGCACGGUAUCAGAAUAAAAAAUAUAUACCAUUUAUCAAUAAGAAUAUCAACCACCAAAUAAAUAAAAGAAUACAUACAUCCUACCAUAAAGAACAAUUUACAGAUGAUUCUUAUUAAAUUAACCACACCAUACUUAUAGAGAUUGAUUACAUAAAUUUACCUUAUUCCCCCAACAACACAUUUCAUUCAUCAGAGUGAAAAAUCAAGUGACUAACAUAAAGGAGGCAACAAACACUGUCCAUUCAUCUUUUUUUUUUUUUUUUUUUUUUGUUUUGAGAGAUAGGUAGCAUGCUACCCGCUUCGUUUAUUUUAUUUAGAAAUAAACUUAGCUGAAAAUGUGAAUCAAUUAGGAUUCGAACUUGGGUGUCGGGUACCAACCACCAAGCCCUUUGCCACUCAUCAUCUUCCAACAAGUAUAACACUGUCCAUUCAUCAUCUUCCAACAAGUAUAACAUCUCUAUAAAUAUAAACAUAAACCACCUCUCUCAGCUGAAAUAAAAUACAAGUGAAACUGGCUAAGCCAAUCUAGUAUGUACAAUGCACUACCCAAAAACAGCCUCUAAUGGGUGCUCCACUAUCUCAACAGCUCGGGUAAGAAAAUUAGUAUCUCACGACUCCUUUAUCUCAAUCAGAUGCGGCGAUAGGAACGAAGGGUACUGCAGAAAAAGGUGGCAACAAAGGACGUAAGAACAACUAAAAUAAGCAGUACUUAGUGGGUACCAUCACUUAUGAGGACGAUCUAUCCACUAGGUCUACUAGAGCCAGAAAAUAAGGAUUUACUAUAACAGCAAAGAAAUAAUAGCUGGAAUGAAACUCUACAGCUGCUAUGUCUUUAUACUAUAUAUGCUCAGAGUAAAUAGCUGAAUGUAAUGGAUACAUCAACUAACUAUCGGGUGCUCUCAAUCAUAACCGAAUUCAAAUAAUUGCCUUCAGGGUUCGGUCAAGUUUGCGCCUACCUACUACCACGACACCACCCUCGAGGGUGGCCGGUUAAAAUGUAGGCCGCCCAAAAGGGUUGCUGCAAUAUGAACGCACUAAAAGCCAAGCUCCGGAGUAACACCCAAGCGGAGCGGCCCCACCAUUUAAAAGGGAUAGUCUCUGUCGAGUUCAAAUCCAUUUCAUGCAGACUAUAGUCAAUGCAAAUGAUGAACCAUAUCAUAUAAGUAGAAUACAUGUGCCUCCAGCAAAAUCCGAUGUAUAACCCAGUGAUCUAGAACCACCAUCGACCUAGACGGUAUCCUAAAAUGCAACUCAGUCUACCAACUGCUAUAGAAAUUCUCUCGGUCCCUCAGCACGAAUAUAAAGUCAUUCUAUGCUAAUCUGACUACUCACUACCCUCUAAUAAGGGUAAAAAACAAGUAAAGAUAGAAAGCUAAAUAGUAAGAAUGGAGUAUUAAAAUAUCAACUGUAGGUUUAGAUAUAAUUAUAGUCAAAAUUCAGCAUUUAUAGAUCCUCUAUAACAUGUUAAGGAUAAAAUAAGAGAGACACUAAACAGUAGUAGCGAAGAAUUAAUUUAGUUUUCUUGCUAAUUUCAGGUUCUAAUAUCCAUGAAUCAAUUUCUGAAUCACAUGCUGUUUACUACUAAUGUGUUGUACUUGAGCAAACUCACAUUUACAAAUUUAUUGUUCUACUAUCGAAUGCUAAUCUUUACAACAAUGAUAACAUGAGUAAAACAUCACAAAACUCUAGAUGUAUCCACACUAACAACCAACAUGCAGGAAUUUCAGACAGAGAAAGAAAUUCGAUGCAUUCAGUAAAUUAAACCCACUUCGGUAUCUAAUCCAACUACGAAAAGAUGGAGAAGUCAACAGACACCCUCUCGCUGCUCCAAACUAGCAGGAAAUGUGUAAUACACUGGACCUUUGCAAAUUGCGAGGUUCGAGUGUUUGAUCUGUAUUCCGAGCCUUUCCAUAGUUUCUGAAGGGUCGUUGACAGAGCUCCGACCUAUGGUUCGUAUCUCGAGAACUGAGGUUCGAAACUUAGCACCAAAAUCCUAAAAUUGGGAUUGUUGGUCAUGCUCUCGGGUUAGCCUUAGCCAGGCUGUGUACCGGUACAGCCUUGAUGGUUGUAUCGGUACAGGAUUUGUACCGGUACAUCCUUGAUGGUUGUACCGGUAUAGCUUUGAUGGUUGUACCGGUACAGCCUUGAUGGUUGUACCGGUACACUUGGGAUUUUCUGCCAACCCGAGGCUCGGGUUGCUGUCGCGCAAGAUUUGUACCGGUACACUUUUUCGUGUACCGGUACACUUUGCUCUGCGAGCUGUUUUUGUAGAGGGGUGUUUUUGCGAUUGUUGCAACCCCUUUAUAACUCACCCCAGCCCCUUAGAGAGCUCUCUUGAGCUCAGACCAGUGGAGAACAAGGUGAGUCCUUCUCCCUUUGAUUUCUUCUCCAUUUUUGAUGAUUGUAGUUGGUUUUGAUCUCUUUUUUCUUCUCCUCCUUGCUCUAUGUUGGUUCUUCACCAUUGGAGAAGCUUUGAAGCUUUUGUUGGAGUUUGUUUGGAGGGAGAACUUCAACCCUAGCUGGCUUUGAGCUUGUUUUGGGGCAUCUUGUGAGGUUUGUAACAUGUAUUUCUCAUUUCAUACAUGUUUUAGUGGAUUUUGAUGUUGUAACCCUAGAAUUGGAGAUUUAGGGUUAGAAAUGGAGAUUUUUGAUUUGAGGCUUCUUGAUCUUAAUUGUUUGACUUAGAACCUUUCUUUAGGUUGGUUUUGGAGGGUUCUCGCUCUCUUUGGGAGAUCAAGAGGAAUUUUCACCAUUUUCGGUAAGUUUUCUUCACCUUUGCUUGAGUUGCUUAAUAUUUGAGCAAUUGAUUGUUCGUAACGUUCGUGUAUCCCUCCUUUUGUUACCUUUAGGGUACUAGGAGAGUAGUGGACACCUUCGUCGGCGCAAACGAAGGGUUUUGAGAAGUCAUGGUGGGUUUGGCUUCAUUGGAAUAGGGGAAAUCUUCUCCUAAGUGGCUGAAUGUUGUUGUUUCUUCACGUCGCAUGCAUAUUCAUGCUAGAUAGGAUUUAUAUAAAUUUUAGAAUACUUAAAAUGCAUGCACUAUGUAUUAUGAAAAUUUAACUCUAUAUAGUAGAGCCUUAGUUGUAUUAUGCAUGUACGUGAGAAGUGUUCUUUACUGCAAGUUGGAAACAUGUUUCUUAUGAUGAAAAUGACUUGAAUUAUGUACUCCGAAACACUAAAUUCAUGCUUGGACUUAGUGGACAAAAGUGCCAUAAAGGGGCACCCGACUUAGUAAAUUGUGAAACUGCAACAUAGAGACAUAGUGAUAGGCCAUUGUGACAUCGACUAUAUUCCAUGUUUUAGACAUGAUAACAUAGUGAUAGGCCAUUGAGACAUUUGCUUUAUUUCAUAUUUUAGAUAUGAUGAGUUGAGACUUGGGACGGACUUUUACGCUUGCUUGCCAUUGUGCUCAUUCGCACAUGCUUGUGAGUGUCGCUCCCCACAAGCCGGCACUCCAGAGAUAGCCAUCGCGACACAUGCUCGCCCGUGCGGGAUUGGGCGCCAAAAUGGGAUGCCGUGGGGGAGGCUCAUUCCUAGAGUGGGGAUGUUGACUACUACGGGGCCAUUAGGCACAGCGCAAGCCGGACUGCCUACGAGUAGGUCCUACAGGAUUGGAACAUCGAUGACAUGGUAUACUGAUUGGACAUUGACUAGAAUAGUAAACAUGACACUUUACUAUUUAGCUUGAGGACAUUAUAUUAGUUAUACUCUCGUACAUUCAUGUUACGAUAGUUUAUUAUUUAUGCAAAUUCAUCCUAAGUAGAGAUAUCAUGUUGUAGUAAACUUUCAUGUUUAAUCGCUUAAUGUUCAUACUGCUUAUUCCUGUACUUACCCGCCCCUCUUUUUAGCUUUUGGGCCUAGUGACACAUUUCACUGAAGUCAGUAAUUGCCCACUGGGAACUAUUAUUUAAUAGUUCUCACGCCCCCUGUUUUGUGGUUUCUAUUUCAGAGCCCUCUAUACCGGUGGAGGCCCGGGAUCGUGGAAAGGGGAUGGCUUAGCUAGCUAGCGAGGAGCGUUUCUUUUGCUUAUUAGGAGGUUUACUCUCCUUUUUGUUUGUAGUUGAGAGUGAGAGGUUUUGUAUCCAUGUAUAGAGACCACCAUUGUUAUACUUUUAGCACUUGUGUUUUGGAUGUUCAUUGUACUACUUUAUGGUUACUCUUAGUGGAUUUGUUAGCUCUUUUAUUUGCCUCUAUAUCUCUUAGAAUCUAGAUGUUGUACUAUGCUUUGAUACUCUUAGAUGUCCUUUUAUUAUCACUUUAUUUAUUGUAGUUUUGUAGACGCCUUAUUUGUUUUAGACGAAUGGCGGGUUUGGACAUUUACCGGGCGGGCUUCCGCUGGGUCCCGGGGCGUGACAAAAUGUCAACCAAAUCAUCGAAAAUGUAGCAAAAAUCCUGCUAGCAACAUUCGUAGUCAAAAUCUAAUUGAAAAUCCAUUUCAACAUUCGAAACUCUAACAACCCAAAUUGAGUCCAUCUACCACUACAACGACCCGGCAUACUAGUAGCAAUUACUCGUUGGGUCCAAACCACCGGCCCAAAAUGCUUAAGCCUAGUUAUUAUUACUAGUGUCCAUGGUCUCUUAUAUACCAAACAUAAUUCUAUUUCCAUCCGUUGUGGGACUAUUGGGGUGUCACAGACUCCCUCGUUUAGGCCCUAACGUUCUCGUCAACCCUAUCACACACACAGACCAAGAUUACCAGGCGAUGUGAGACUUGUCUCGCUAGCCUUGUCAUCGAGACCCUAGCAUAGCCUGUUACCUUGUCAUUCUCAGACCCUGAUAUGGCUUGUCACCUUCUUAUUCAGACCUUGGCUCAGUCGAGGCUCGUUACACACUUCCAGCUGGUGAUUGGCUCUGAUACCAAAUAUAAUGACUCGGCCCAAUAGCAACAAUAACUCGUUGGGCCCAAACCAUUGGCACAAAAUGCUUAAAUUCAAUUCUUAUUAUUAGUGUCCAUGGUCUCUUAUACGCCAAACACAAUUCUAUUCCUAUCCGUUGUGGAACUAUUGGGGUCUCACAACCGCACAGUUCAGCUAGGAGCAUUUUCAAAUCAGCAGGAAUUGAAGGAAAAUCCAUCAAAAGUCCACCAAUUGUUCAGCUAGAGAAACUAGAAGAAGAAAUUUAACGAAAUUCGAUAAUUUUCACAAUUUCAGCUCAACAAUCAAAUUACCUCAAUUCCAUCCAACCUUACCUUAGUUCCAGCUGGAAUAGAUUACCUCAAGCUCUCCUCCAUCAACUAAAGCUCGAGCAAAAUGCAAUUGAGUAAUCCCAAACUCCAAUUUAGCUCAAUUACUCCCAAAAUUGCUGCUGCUGCUGCUGCAGUAGGCUAUUAUUGCUGUUGUGACUGCUAUGGUUAUUGCAACUGUUGUUGGUGUCGAUCUCCAGCAUGUAGAGAAAGAGGAGAAAGAGAGGGGAUUCCAUGUUGCUGCCAGCCAUUGCUCCUGCUGCUGCGACAAGCCACUACUUGUUGUUGCUGUCAGCAGAGUAGGUGUUACGAUAUAUUUUAUCUAUAUUAGGAUGUUAUGAUAUAUUAGGAUAUUGUAUAUUAUUGCCUUAUAUAGAGUAGUAUCAUUGCCUUCUAUAGAGUAGGAUUAUAUAGUAUGUAAUCCUAGUUAUACUCUUACUAUAGUAGUCAUUGUUACUAUAGUAAGACAAUCUCUUGUACUAUAUAUAUUCAUUAAUACAACUAAAGAGGGUAUGCACUUUAGCCCUUCUUUCAUGGUAUCAGAGCGGGAACCCUAAUGUGGGAAUAUCGAUCCAUAGCCACCAUCUACCAUUAAUCUCACGUUUUUCUAUAGGUGUUUUUUUUUUUGGUUUUCUAUCUUCCCAGUACUGCUACAGUACUGCUACAAUAUUAUUGCUACAGUACUGGCGCUACAGUACCGGCGCUACAGUAUUUCUGCUACAGUAUUUUCAGACUCUCUGUGAUUCCUCUUUGCUCCUCUGGUGCCGCUCGGAUUGUCCUACUGUUGGUUGCUCGUAUCGCUCGGUUCUUUCCUUGGUGCGGUCGAUCUUAUUUGGUGAUAAGUGGUUCCUCUCAUGUGGUAGAAUUCAGGUUCUUNCUUAUAUAGAGUAGUAUCAUUGCCUUCUAUAGAGUAGGAUUAUAUAGUAUGUAAUCCUAGUUAUACUCUUACUAUAGUAGUCAUUGUUACUAUAGUAAGACAAUCUCUUGUACUAUAUAUAUUCAUUAAUACAACUAAAGAGGGUAUGCACUUUAGCCCUUCUUUCAGUAGGAGAAGAAGAAGAUCAUGAUGACGAAGAUGGAGGUGUAGACUUCUUAUUGCUGUCGCCUGCUAUGCUAUUGAUAAUCUGUUGCUGUUAUGCUGGCUGCUGUCAGCACUACGCAGGAAGAAGGGCAGGGAGAGAGUGAGGAGAGGGAAGAGGACGAAGAGAGAGUGAGGAGGGGGAAGAGAAGGAGAAGAAUGGAAGAAGAAGGAUAAGAAAUGAAGAGAAUUUGGGGUUUCAGCUGGUUUUUGCUACCUGCCAAAAUCUCCAAUCAAGGGAGUUAGUGAAGGUUCUGAUGCUCUCUAUACUCAAGCAAGAAUUAUCUCAUUCUGGCUGAAAUUGGCUCCACUUAGGAAUCAUUUGUGACGUUCAUUUCGUGUCAAAACAAUUCCAACUCGUCCCAAUACUAUAGACAAGUGUCCUCCACCUGCUGAAACUAUAGUCAUUCUGAUAGAAAAUUCUUUUGGAACACUACAAUUUGAUUAAGUAGAAAUCUACUGUUGAGUUUCAUCAGCUAAAAUCGGUCAUCAAAAUCUAGAAAGAGCAAAGAAAAUAAACUAUCCUAUUGAUCCAGUAUAUAACUAUCAAAAUAAAUCAAACAUCACAGAGUCUUUGGUAAAAGAGUAAACUCAACCAUCACACACAUGUUCACUACUAACAAGGUCCACGCUAAGUAGCUAACUGGCAACUAAUGGUAGAGGCCAAAACUGGGUCUAACAAAGCACUGACCAUAAACCCUCACGUUUGCGACCCAAUCUACUGUUUACGGCAAAAACACUCAAAUGUAUCCCAACACCAUUGGGGUGGUCUACAUAGUUUUAAAUCCUGAAAACUAUAAAAUUUAAAAUAUAAUUCUGAAAACUUUUUGAAAAAGUUUUAUUUUAACUUUUUUUGGUCGCAUCAACAAAUGUUUAAAUCCUACAACAGGAAUUACUCUCAUAAUUUUUAGCCUUAUCACGCUUAGCCUUUUUUAACCAAAGUUAAUGAGUAAGUUUAAAAAGUUAGUAUAUGUAGAAUCUUGGACUUACCAAGAGCACUUUUCAUUUGGUGUAUCUUAGAAACGAAAACGGUAGUUUGCGAGCAAUGCUUCUAUACUUGUUUAACUACAGCCACCAUAUAAUUUUCUGAUCAGGGGGUCCAUAUGUUACUUGAUGGCUAUUGCUUGCCGGUCAUUCUCAGUGGGUACUGGUUAUCCAGUACCCUAAUCGGUGUGAUCACAAGGGGUAUUUUUGUAACAGAGCAAUAGAAAUUCUUACAUUUUCACAAUUAAUUCAAAGAAAAUUAUUACUUGCACAAGAUCUUAUGUAUAACCCAUGCACCACAUCUUAAAAAUAGCUAUGAUGAGGGCUUUACAAAUAAAAUCUAAUUUAUAAAUUUCUUCUAUGAUAUCCCAAAAUUCUAUUGUAGAAAAUUUGUGAAAUUUGGGAUACCAAUUCCUCUCACAAAUCAAAUAAUAAUUCUUUCCAUACUAGUGAUUUUUUAGGUUAUUUCCUAUUUGACGUCUCAAUAAUGAUUUUUUAAAAAUACUUGUGAUUAUUCUAUACCUAGAUUUCCUUUGGCCAAUUCACAUAAAAAGUUCAUCGGUUUUGAGUUUUUGCAAAAUUAUGCCGCCUUUUUGAAUUUUACAGCUUUGAUCUGAAUUUUUAAUAAACUUACCAAAAUGCCCUUAUUUCUCUCUCUCUCUCUCUCUCUCUCUCUCUCUCUCUCUCUAUCUUUUAUUUACGCUUUUUUUUUUUCAUACGGUUUGUCUUAUUCCUCCUCGUCAUUUCUUCCUUUCCUUCUCCUAUUUUCUCUUCUUUCUCCUCCUCCUUCACUAUCCAGACGUCCAAGCCACACUCCUCUCACUUAUUUCGCUCGCACCUCCGCUGAUGCUGGCUCAGAUAUGGCACAGAUUGCGAUUCGAUGGAAUACAUAGCUACGGAUAGUGACAGCGAUGGCGAUGAGGGUGUCGCAGAUUUUGAGGACGACGAAGAGACAGAGCGCGUCAGGGUGGCGGUGGUGGCUGUGGCAAAGGGCGAGGGGGGAGGUGCAGUAAUAGAAAACGAUGCAGAGAGUGAAAGAAAAAAAUAAAGAAAAAAAAUAUUUUUUUUCUUCUGAAAAAUUCAUCGUGUGUUGUGGUCGUUGAAACAAAGAAGGAAAAAGAAUAUGAAGUUGCCCUGUUUGAGAUCAAAGUUACACUGCUUGAGAGUUGCACUGUUUGAGACAAAAUUAUACUAUAUAUAAAAUAGAAAUUGUACUAUUUCCCACCUCCUCGCCCGAACUCCACUCCCUCCAACUGCUACCUCCUCCUCCUCCUCUGUGACGCCCCAACUUCCCAGAGGGUCACCCAUCCUAGGACUACUCCCAUCCUAGCAUGCUUAACUCUCUUAACCUCUUGGACCUAGCCACCGUUCAAAAUGCUUAAGCCGAGUUAAGAGUUUUAAUCCUAUUAUAUCUUUUAUAUAGAAGUAUCCGGGGGUCUCACAUUGUCCCCUCUUUAAGUCCUGACGUGCUCGUCAGGCUCAAACUCACAAGUAUCAGACGAUAUGAGACUCAUCUCAUUAGCCUAAAUUGACCUUACAGUGAGCCGCACUUUACCCACAACAGUCAAUAGUAUGAGAGUCUUGCUCUUGCACUUUACCCACAACAGUCAAUAGUAUGAGAGCCUUGCUCUUGCUGUUGUAUAAUUCUGGUUCAGCCGAGAAUCAUCUGACACUUCUGGCUAGUAAUUGACUCUGAUACCAACUGUGACGCCCCAACUUCCCAAGGGGUCACCCAUCCUAUAAUUACUCCCGUUCUAGCACGCUUAAUUCUCUUAACCUCUUAGGCCUAGCUACCAUCCAAAAUGCUUAAACAAAGUUAAGAGUUUUAGCCCUAUUAUAUCUUAUAUAUGACUAUUUGGAGUCUCACAUACUAGUUAUCUAGCUAAAAUAAUUUACUAACUAAUUAAAAAAUUAAAUUAUUUUUUAUAUUUAAUUAAUUAAUUUUUAUUAUCUUAUAUAAUAUUCAUAGCUAAUAAAUUUAUUAAUUUAUUAAAUUAUUUUUAAGUAAUAUCUUGAUGUUAAUGAUUUAGAUAAAAUAAUUUUAAUUUAAAAUUAUUCUUUUUCCUUUUGUUCCAAUCUAACCAUCUAAACACUAUUUAUCUUAUUUCUAGGAGCAACCCAAUUUUUAUCCAAACUCAAAAUUAGUCUAGUUCCUGCUUAUACCCGAACUUUUACCUAUCCCUGAAAUAAGUAAAUCUUACUUAUACCCCAACCAAACGUAGUCUAUAAGAGCGUUGCUUCUACACUUGUUUUACUAAAGCCACCGUAUAAUUUUUUGAUCAAACAAUCCACAUGUGUUACUUGAUGACUAUUGCUUAUCAGUCAUUCUCCGUGGAUACUAGUCAUCGGGUACCCAAAUCAGUGUCGUCACAAGUAGGGGUAGGGAUGUCAAUGGGCACGGAUACCCGUAAUUUUAUCUGAAUCCGAAUCUGAACGGACCGAAUUUAUCCGAUGCUAAAUUGGUUUCGAAUAUGGAUAUCAAAAAUAAAAAUCCGAUAGAUAUGGAUAUGAAUAUGGAUUUUAAUUGUACCCGACCUGAACCCGAACCCAACCCGAACUUGAUCCGAACCUGAAUUUAUUUUACAUUAUAUAUAAUAUGUAUAUAAAAAUUUGAUAUUAUAUUUGAAUUUGUAUUUUAAAAUUUUAAAUUUAAUAUAAUAUAUUUUGAAAUAUUGAAAAGAGAAAAAAUUGUUUCGGGUUUGGGUUCGGGUUUGGGUUUCGGAUUUUUGGUCGGGUUCGGGUUUGGAUAUGAAUUUUUAAAAUCCAUCGGAUUCGGGUUUGGAUUCAAGUUUCAGGUUUGGAGUGGGGUCCGGGUUUGAAUUUUUGAAAAUUUGCCCUGAAUCCGACCUGUUAACAUCCCUAAGUAAGGGUGUCAACGAGCAGAACACGAGCGAGUUGGGCUGGCUCAUGUUCGGCUCGUUUAAUAAAUGAGUCGAAUAUGAGCUGACUUGUUAAAUUAUCGAGCCGAAAAGUUCAGCUCNCGAUUUGGUUCGUUAAAGUAUCGAGCCGAAAAGUUCAGCUCGUGUUCGGCUCGUUAGUAAAAGAGCCGAACACGAGCUAGCACACGAGUUGACCAAGAAAUAAUAAAGGAUUAGAUUGGAUAUAUACAUAUAUAAAUUAAAUUUAUAAAAUCUUAUCCAUUAAAUUUUGAUCAAGUGGUUGAAACUUUACAUAUAAUGAGUCUUUUUAUAAUUGAGUUUGACUUUAUAUUUUUAUUUUGCAAAAAAUGAAAUAAUAAAAAUAUUUAUAUUAUAUAUAUAAUUAUUUAUUUAUAUAUAUAAAUAUAAAUUAAAUAAAUUAUAUAAAUAUAAAAUAUAUGUUAUUCGAGCUGUUAUCGAGCUGAACACGAGCGAGUUGCCCAUUUAACAAGCAAUAGUCAAGUGCUCUCUUUCGAAUAUGAUUUUCGGCUUGUUUAUUAGGGUCAUCUAAGAACUCAAUUAAAGGCUUUCUCCAAUCUUCCUGUGUUUCGAUCGGAGCAAUCAUCAUCGGCUCACGUAUAUGAAUCGAUGGUAGCAACCUCCUUUCUACUUCUAUUUGAUUCCCUUUUGACUCUCUGUAUCCUGAAGCCGAUUGAGCUAAAUCAUUAGCUUACUCAUUUUCUUCCUUGAUAGUUGCACGAACUCUACUUCACCGAAACUACAAAGUAACUCAAUUAUUUUCUUUGAAUAAUUUUGCAGAUUUCGGUUUUUACAUUUGUAUUCCCCAUUUACCUAUUUGAUCACUAAUUGUGAAUCACCGAUGGCUUUGAGUGAACGUGCUUCUAAUUCCUGUAAGAUUUCAAGGCCGAUUAUUAAGGCUUCAUAUUCGGCUUGAUUGGUAGAACAGCUGAAAUCCAAUUUGAAAGCAAACCGAUAAGUGUAGCAUUCAGGAGACUGUAUAACUAUUUCAGCCCUUGGUGAUUCGACUAUUUUUGAUCCAUCGAAAUAGAGUAUCAAAAUUGACAACCGACCAAGCUCUGUAUUGGUUCUUCAACCUCGACACAUGGAUGAUCACCCAAGAAAUCAGUUAUUGCUUGCCUUUUGACUGCUUUUGCCUGGACAUAAUUAAGAGAAAAUUUAGAAAACGCUAACAUCCAUCGUCCAAUCCGUUCUCUUAAUACAUGUUUGGAUAACAUGUACUUCACUAGGUAAGUAUUGCAGACAACUAAUACUUCUACUGCUAAAAUAUAAUAUCUCAGCUUAGUGCAUGCAUAAUAUAAUGCUAAACAUAAGUUUUUUAUUGUCAAAUGAUGUUUUUCGGCAUCAAGUAGACAUCGACUGAGAUAAUUAACUGCUUGUUCUUCCCUCUUAAUAUUUUCCUAAACUAACAAGUAUCCCAGAUUUUCUUCUGCAGCCGAAAUAUAUAAUUUCAUCGGCUGACCUGGCUGUGGAGGAAUAAGGACUGGAGGUCUGGAUAAAUACCUUUUAAUAUCUUCAAAUGCUUUUUGUUGUUCCUCUGCCCAUACGAAUUCUUCUUGAUUUUUGAGCCGAAAUAAAGGAGUGAAUGCUCCUAUUCUACCGGCUAAAUUAGAUAUAAAACGCCGCAAGUAGUUUACUUUUCCUAAUAAACUCUGCAAUUUCUUCUUCUUUUUAUGUGGCAGCAAUUCAAUAAUUGCAUUUGCCUUGUUUUUAUCUAUUUCGAUUCCCUUCUAAUGCACUAGGAAUACAAGGAAAGAUGCACUAGGAAUCCAAGGAAAUUCCCAGUUGAAACUCGAAAAGUGCAUUUUAAAGGAUUCAUUUUUAAAUUAUAUUUCUUUAUGUGCUCAAAGGCCAACUCUAAAACAGCCCAAUGAUUAGUUUGUGAUUUAGAUUUCAUGACAAUAUCAUCAAUGUAAACUUCCAUCAUUUACCGAUCAAAUCAUGAAAAAUAAAAUUCAUUGCCCUCUGGUAAGUAGCCCAGGCAUUUUUUAGGCCGAAUGGUAUCACUAUCCAUUCAAAAGUCUCGAUGGACCCUGGGCAUCUAAAAGCCGUUUUUGACACAUCUCUUUCAGCAAUAAAAAUUUAUUAUAACCAGCAUGACCAUCCAUAAAAGAUAAGACUUCAUGUCCGACUCUCACAUCUACCAGCACAUCGCCUAUAGGCAUCAGAUAUUCAUCUUUAGGUAUAGAUAAAUUUAAAUUUCUAAAGUCAAUAUACACCCUAAGUUUGCCAUUUUUUUUUUUAUACUGGUAGGAUAUUAGAUACCCAGUCGGUAUAACGGGCCGCUAUAAUAAAUUCGACCUUUAAAAGGUUUUCUAUUUUAUUUUUAAUUUGAAGUACAAUACUCGGCUCAAACUUGCGAGCUGGCUAUUUGCAAGGUUUAUAUCCCUUUUUAAUAGGGAGCCUAUGUUCUACAAUUUCUCGACUCAACCCAGGCAUUUCCUCAUAACUCCAAGCAAAGCAAUCUUUAUACUUUCUGAGUAAUUCCAUUAACUUCUCUUGUUGUUGAGGUGAAAGUUUCGCGCUAAUAUAGGUCGGUCUUUUAUCCUCGUCCGACACUAAGUUCACUUCUUUCAAUGGAUCUUGAGUCUUCAGCUUUUUCUCACCCACCUUGAUCGGUGAUUCUUCCACAGGCUCUGUCUUAGUCUUCUCAUUUUCUUCUGCGAAAUUCGAGUCAUUUUGUACUCGUUUGGCUCGGCUCUUGAACUUAGAAUUACAUCAUGUAACUUUUCAUCGGCCGAUCCGACCGAAUUCAUACACAAUCCUUGAUCGGCUAAUAAAACUGAUUUGGCAUGCAUAUUUCUAUCGGCUAUUUCGGCCGACUUCGUGAAGCAGCCAACUUCUUUAGUUGGCUCAUCAUGCUAAAGCUCUUCUAGAACCUCGGUUCCCAUCCUUUGAUAUUCCAUUUCAACUAGUUUGGUGGUUCUUUAGUAACCACCGUUGUUUCUGCGUCCUUUGAGAGCACUAAUUGUACUCCUUCUUUCGUGACCUGUACAAAUAAAAUCUGAUCUGGGUCAGUGUCGGCCCAAUUGAUAUGACUAAUUUCUUCCGCGUUAAUGUCUACCAUCUGAGGCCGUCCCUCGGCCUUAACUUCCUCCACGCGAUCUCCGAUCCAUUGGAAGAGCUUCCCAUGGAGAGUGGAUUGCACACACUCGUUUGCAUGAAUCCAAUCACGCCCGAGCAGUAGGUUGUAGUGGCUAUCUGCAUCCACCACGAAGAAAGCUAUUCGUAGAGUUUUGAACCCGACCGUAAGUUCGGUCAUGAGUAUGCCCCUCGCCUGUUGACCGUUUCCAGUGAAAUCGGUCAUAGUUGUGUCUGUGAGCUUGAGUUCAUCCUCACUUUUGCCCAACUUCUUAAAGAAAAAUUUGGGCAUGACGUUGACCAUUGCCCCGCUAUCAAUCAUCACACGGCCAACAGGGCGUCCUUCUAUCAAGGCCCUUAUAAACAAAGGCCUAACGAAUCUUGUUUACAGGGUCGAUGGCUUCUCGAAAACCACCGCAUCUAUCGUCUUCACAUCUUCCAACUGGAUUUGAGCUAUCGAUAGCUCCUCUUCAUCGUAGAUCGGCUCUUCUAAUUCAGUGGACUCUGCCCUGAAAGAGUGUGGCAGAGUGUACACCAUGCUUACAUCGGCCGAGCUUUCUUCGGCCAGCUUCUCCCAUACCUUUUGUUUUUUCUCCUUAGACUCUUUUGUUGUCCCGGCUGAGGAAUCGCUCUCCACUUGAGCUUUCCUCUCCUUAGAAGCCGACCUAUCUCGCUUGAUAAUGGUCUCCAGAGAAGCAAUCUUUUCGUCCAACAUUUUCUGCGUCCCUUUCUUUAUCGGUUCGACUGGAACUGGCCGCUCGAUCUUGGAUUUCAAUCACAACACGGGUGUUGAACCACCUACUUCAUGAUCAUUCUUUAUGGGCUGAAAGGAGGACUGUGUCUCAUAUGGUCUCCUCCAUACAUUUGGUUUUAUUCCCUUGGCCUGUUUCCAAUGAUGCCGUGCUUCGGCUUGCAACCUCUGCUGUCGACGCUUUUGGAUUUUUGUCAACGGCGGCCCAUGCCAUCUGGCCGAUGUCAUUGCAAUGUGCCACUGAUCAAUUAGCACAUUGGAUGGUACUUUGACAGUCCUAAGUUGUUCUUUCAAUAUUUCUCUCUGCUCCCACCGUCUUAGCCAGGGUUGGAUACCGAGCUCGUUGACCAGUCGUCGACCAAGGAAUUCAAUGUCGCCCUCGGUCAUUCCUUCAAAUUCAGGCUCUGGUCUCGGCCUGGCUUAAUGGUGCUAGUUCGGCCGAUACCCUAGAAAUCUUUGUUGUGUGCCGAAAGGUUUUUCAGGAUAACUCAUUCGGCUCAUCUUUUCUUCGGUUUGACGAUUACAAUAGUCGUUCAGGAUUUUUUGUAUUACCAAGUCCCUCUUUUCCUUUACAGACUCUACUUCUUAUUCGGAGUUGUUCGAAUCUUCUUCAGAACUGCCGUCUGGGUCAUUUUUUGCUUCGAGUAGGUCUUCCCAUUCUUCAUGGAAUGCCAUGAAUGCUUUUCAUUCCCCAUAUAAUUUCUUCUCUUGAAUGAUCGCUCCCAGCCACGUUGUGUCAUUUCGGCCUUGCAGCGUAUGCAUAGCCUAAUGCUCUUUUGGUAUUAGCGAUAUCCUGGUCCACUUUCUCUCUAACAGGUGUCUUCCCUUUCACAUCUACCAUAUUAACCUGCGAAAGAAACGAAUUUUUAUCAACUUCCAUGUUUUUGUUUUCUUAAUCAGCAAAUAUGAGCCGACCUUCAUUUAUCUCUUUUUAGAUUUAUCUUUUGAAGGCAAUACAAUCAUUUGUCCUGUGGCUCCACAAAUGAUGCCACUUACAACAUCUUCUUAUUUUUAAUUCCUCUCCGGAGGGUAUCACUUGACCCUCAUGGAGUUAGAUUUUGCCGUUUUUUAACAGCCGAUCAAAUAUUAAAUCGGUCUUUGUUACGUCAAAAGAAUAUGUAUAUGAUACUAUUCAUGCUUUGGCCUCACUUGCUUUGGCAGGUUUGAGCAAAGUACAUUUAUAUGGUUGACGGUUUUUUACCAUCUCUGCAGCAUAAAUUUCGGCCUCAUAGGCCGAAUACUCUGUUUUGUCAGAAGUGCUUGGCUCAUCUUGAGCCGAGGAUUCCUCGACAAAGGAGAUAUUUUUCUCUUUUCCUUUACCAUUCUUUGUUUCGGCUCCAUUUAGGCCGAUUCUCAUUAUUGCCUUUCCUGAAUUGCUCAUAUUGAGCAACUCGAACACCCAAGUCAAACAUAAUCGAAAAAUAUUUAUCUUAAAAAUGGUCUUUUAUCUUAAAGUGCAGACAUUGAAUGCCAUUUUGGCAAAUUCCAAUUCUGGCAUUCUAACAAAAUAACGAUUUCUCGUCGUCUUAAACCGGUUCAAGUAUUCUUCACCCGAUUCUCCCAGCUUUUGCCGAAAUUGAGCUAAAUCAGCAAUUGAUAGUUCUGGCUCUGAUGUAUAGAACUGCUCAUAAAACUUUUUAUCUAAUUUGUCCCAAUCUCGGGCAGAAUUGGCAAGUAGGCUUGUGUUCCAAGUAAAUGCUAUCUUGGUUAAUGAAGUAUUAAAUAAUCUAAGUUUGAGAAAUGGGUCUGUAGCGGCCUCUCUGCAUUGGGCCGUAAACCGUGCCACGUGCUCGACCGUGUUCUCGGUUUCAUCACCAGAAAAUUUAUCAAAUUUCAGCAUUUUUCAAUUUGCCGGAUAAGAAUGUUCUACAUCUAUAUUUGCAGGAUAAGGAGACCUAAAUACGGGCCGCACUGCCGGCCUAGCUCCUACUCCGAAAGUAUUACGAAUAGCUUCCUCUAUUUGAGCAUAUAGCUUAUUAUUAUUCCCUAAGGCAGGGACAGGGGCCUGAAGUUGAACCGGAUUCAGUUCUUAAAAAUUUUGAAAUUUUGUGCUAGUGCAAUAGGGUUCAUUCUUUGGACAACAUUAGGGGUUUCCCCCCCAACCCUUACUUGUAAUAUACCGAAUUUUAAUAUAAAAGUAAGUGUAAAUAAAAAUAGUAUGAGAUACUAUUUUUAUUUGACUUAAAGAAGUAAAAUAUAAGUCGGAAGUGACUUGUACUGAAAUUGGAAUGAAAACAGAAGAUUCGAAUUUUCUGUAAGGAACGGGGCUGAUAUUUUAGCAGAAAAUUCACAGUGUCAGAAAAUUAUGAAAACUUGAAAAUAUGUCGGAAUUAUUUUUAUGAGGCUAGAUUUAAAGUUUCAUGUCAUUCCGACACCCGAAAAGUGAAAAAUAAAAUCCGACUGCUAUCUGCUAGAGAUUUCAGUUCGUUAGAGCUUUCGGUGAUAAAAAAUGAUCCAAACUGAGAAGUUAAAAUAUAUUUCUUUUAUUUAACUUAAACCAAGCCUGACUGUUAAAUUUGAAUGCAAAUGGACAUUCAGAAAGGUUCCGGCGAAAAGUAUCAGAUUUUGAGUUGCUAAACUGAAAAUAAGCUAUGUGUUGAGGGGCUAUGUGUGUAACAAAUGCAUUGUGUUGGUCCAAACCGUGAGAGAGGGAGAGAGAGAGAGUAAGUUUUCUCUCUUUCUCUCUUUGCCUCUAAAAUCUCUUCUUCUCUCUUAGGGAGGAAUCAAGAGGAGGAAUUGGAGAGGAAGUUCGAGAAGAAACUUGGUGGAGAAGAAGGCUUGGAGUUGAGCUACUACUACUUCUUUUUCAUUGGCUCAAAGAAAGGGAGCUUUUGAGGUAAGCUUCAAACCCUUUAAUGGUAGAACCCUGGGAUUUGCUUUAAAUAACUAGAAAUGAUUUUAGAUGAAUCUCUAGAUGAAAUCAUGCUUGUUAAUGCUUGAUUUAAAUGGGUUUAGAGUGUAUGUUGCUAUAGUACACUAUUAGGGCUGCGAAUUGGGGCUUUUGUCAUAAAGGGGUUUGAAUGUAAAUUGACCUCAUAAAAAUCUAAUUUAAGGUAUUUCCGACUCGUUGGUGGACUCGGUUCGAAGAUCCGACGAGUCUACGCAAGGAUAUUGGAGAAAAAGCCUAUUUUGGCUUCGUUUUGCGCAGUUGAGAGAAAUAAGCGUCCAAAAAUCACCAGAAUUGAACUGUAGCACCUUAGCAACCAUACGAGAUGGGUGGUGCUUUCCGAAAUCCUUAAAUUUCUUUUUAUGUCUAAAGUGUCACUUUUGAGCAUAUGUGUAUAUAUAAAUUUCAUGCAUCGUAGGGUUGUAUGAGAGUAUAUUGUUUGCAUGUUGUGAGUACAAAAUGCAUAUGAGGUGAUAAUGAACUAUUAAGAAUUUGUAAACCCUAUACAUGUGUGAAAUGUGACAAGAACAUAGUUGAGGUCAACUAUAGUGAACAUAGUGGCAUUAUGACAUAUGGAUUGUGUGGUAUUAGUAAAUAUAAUGACUACUAGAGUUGGACUCUUUGUGGUGUGGCAAUAAUGAGUAUUGAUUGCUAAAAGUAAACACUUAGUGUGGCAUUAAUGAGAAUAAUGAAUGCAUGAGAAUGAGUUAAAGAACCUAGUGAUAUUGAGAACAAAUGACAUUAAGACAUCAAAAGAAGAGUGGCAUCAAUGAAUUUUGAAUGCUAGUAUUACAAUAGUAACAUUAAUGGGUCAAGAAUGCUAGUGUACAAGUGUGGCAUUAAUGAGUAUUGAAUGUUAGAAAUAACACUUAGUGUGUGUGGCACAAUAAAAGUUAAAGAAUGCAAGUAAAGUGAGAUAGUUGACAUUAUGACAUAACAACCUUACAGUUAAGGGUCAUAUGAGCAUUGCAUCCUAAUAAUUAAGGAUUGGAUUGAACUUGGAAUCCUUAAAGUUAAGGAUUGAUCAUACUCGCCUAUAAGUCUUGGCUUGAGGGAAGUCGCUCCCCCUCGAGUGAUGAGCUCCGGAGUGUCAUCACUGGGUUAGAGUUGCCCAGAGGACGGUCCCGUCGGGAGGAAGCUGAGGGCCCGAUAUUAGGGAUUUGAGUUGGUGAGUCCGGUCCCGUCGGGAGGAAGCUGAGGGUCCGAUUUUAGGGACUUGAGGGCGAAACCUACGAGUUAGCCACAAUAUUGAGUAAUGGAAAGUGAUCUUGCAUUCAUCAUGAGUAUUUUAUUUGAGCAUAAUCAUUGAUUAUAUCUUGUUCAGGCAUAUUAGCUGCAUUUGUUUAGUUGGUUACUAUCUAUCUCUAUUCUUUUAUUAUGCCUAAUUUAGACCUAGUGGGAAAGUCGGCGAGGUUGGCGGCCGAACCCACUGGAAACUUUGUUGUUGUUCACACCCCACUAUUUCCACAGAGCCAGGACCGAGUGAGCCAGCCGACGAUCGCGGUAAAGGUAUCGCGCCAUAGACAGUGACUACCUGUGUUGGUUCAUGUUUGUAUAGUUGCAUACCCCUUUAUAUCAUCUUUUAUACUUUGAUAAUUAUAGAUGUAUAAAUGAUGCAAAUGUAUUGAUGAUGGCUAAAUAUAAGAGCCUAUUUUGGGAAUCAUGUGAUGUAAAAAGAAAUGAUGAAAAGAAUGUACAUGUGAGAUAUUGAAUGCAUGUAUGUGAUUGAAAUGAAUCAUUAUACUUGUAUGGAUGUAUAGUAUAGAACUUUUACUUUUGGCUAUUGCUUGCCCUUGUGCAAGCCAACUAUGUAUAUUUCCACUUGUGCAAUCUCUUUACUUGAUUUGUACUUGUGUUGAGCCUUAGGCGGACAGGGGAUGUGUUGUUGGUUCGACGUCUAUUCGACGUGCCCGAACCGGCCAAAUAGAUCGGUCCCGGGGCGUGACAUUACCCCUACAUUUUGGGGUUGAUAAACCGAUAAUGGCGGUGGGGGCGGUAAACCCCACGCUACUUCUGGCUAUUAACCAACGUUUAGAGUUGCCAGUCUAUAGGUAGCUUGAAAAGGAGCCAUUUGAGGCUAUGCAUUUACCGACGUUAUUGGGUUUUGCAACGUCGGCGUGCCCACAAGUCCUUGCGAACCUAUUACGGGCUAUUCAUUUCGAGUUAAUAAUUGCCCUAUUCAGGCAAUAUUCUCGUUAGAAGCCAUGAUUGCGGGUAGAACAGCAUCUAGACGAGCUGUGCUCCGAUAACUAUUUUGGUUUAAAACUUGUAAGACCCGAGUCAUCUGUCCGAGUGCCUGAGCCAAACUCGGGCCUUGUUGGUCUGAUUGACCACUAGUCUCACCCUCCACUGGUAAUGCUACAUGACUCUCAUUCACGUUCUCGGUAUUACUAGCUUGGUUCCCGAGAUUCAUGGAACGACUCGGUUGCAGAGAUUCAUAGUGUUAUCAUCAGCCAUAGCUUAUAAUAGAUAAAUACAAAUUUACCUAGACAAGGGUCCCACUGGGCGUGCCAAAAAUUGCCACGAGCCGAAUUCUUCAACCGCUGACCCAAUCAAUGGUCCUCUCUUCCAGAAGCGUGCGAGGAGGUAAAACGACUACGAAUGAUAACCCUCAAAGUUUGCGCCCACAACGGAUCAAGCGAUUUAGUUGAUGAGGGAUUAGAUCAACCGAGUUCGAUUCAACGCAACAGAUUCGAUUCAGUCGGAUCGGCCGAGUGUACAGACUACACAAAGAUUUCUGGUUCGGCUGAAGAGGCGAAUGAGACUUAUAUUGCUAAAAUUCAGAAAAUGUUAACAAGCCAAUAUAAAAGGAUAACUUAUGCUACCGACUACUCCUAGAAAAGACAAAAGAUGCGCGAAAGUUAAAAAGGUUACAAGUAGACUACUCCUAGAAAAUAAAAAAUAUGCAUGGAAUUGAAGUGCUCUUCUGUUCGCAGGGAAAAGACCCCUAUUCCAGGCGUUAUUUGUUUAUUUUUAUUUAGUUAUCUACAUGAUCGGCCACUUUCCUAAUUUUGUGGGCCACUACAGGCCGAUCCUAACCACAUGAAACCGUCUGCGGUUUGUUGUGAUUCGUUCUUUGUUCCCCGUGCACCAAAAAUGUCAUUUAUCCUUGGCUUUGAAGCUCCUAGCUGUGUUGUGCACCGGUUCACCACGUGGCGCGAUUUUUUUGGCGCCAACACAGGUAUUUUCUCUUCAUUAUUUCUAAAUUAAAAUAAAAUUUAUAAGUAUACACAUAUAAUAUCCAAGGAAUUUAUAUAUAAAACCUACAUAUUUCGAAAAUCUAUUGCCCUGAUAAGAGACAUUUUGAAAAAUUGUCGACAUAUAAAAAUAAUAUUAUUUGGUAUAACUUAACAUAAACAAGCUUUCUAAAUACGAAAAAAAAUAUAUUUACUAAAUUAAAUUUUAGUUUUGAGAUGUACAGGCGUGUUUGGUUCAUAUUAUCCUGACAGGAUUAUAGGCAAUCUUGUGAGAAUUUCUGCAUUUGGUUCAUUCAAUCUGUAAUUUGAUCAGUAAUGUAGCAUCACAAAUAGUGCAGAAUUAUUUCGAAAAUAUUACGUAGCGUGUAGAGUACUGGACCUUACCAAAUAGACAAGUAUACAGUAUGAGUUGCUAUUCAGCACGAGCUUAUAGAACUCGAGUGAAUUGGAGACAUUUAAGUACAAAAUUUACGCAAAAACGAACUCAAAAAUUCAAAUGUCAGCUUACGGAGAACUAAAAUUGAAUUAUUUAUUUGUUUUGGGCUUUGUUGCAUUUUGUUGCAACUAAGUUCGCAGGUGGAAUUCCUCUGUCUUUAUCCUCCCCUCCCAUCUGUUGCUUCAAGAGAGAGAAAAGGAGAAGAUAGAGAAAGGAGAUUGAGGAUUUUGACCUACUCGGCGAUCCGAUCGAUCUCGCGCGCGCAUAAAUUUUUGUUGACGCUUCGAUUGCGAGGUCAUUAUACUUUUUCUUACACUUUAUUCGUCUUCUGCUUUUUCUUUUUCUUCUUCUUCUCCUUCCCUUUUGAUGACGUGAAAUCUGUGCUUUUGAUGACGAAAUUGAUAAUAGAUAGUAGGAGAGGAGAGAAAAAGAUUUCAAUUUACACUUUAUUAUAGUUGGAAUUGAGGUUAAUUGGAAUAAAAUUGAGGCAAAUAGGAGGAAAUGAGAUAAAUAGAUGAGUUGAUUCUGAAUAAUUGUAAGAAUUUCAUUGAUUUCGUCGUCUGUUUUUUUUAGUGGAGUAUCACAGAAUUUUUGUCGAGUUCCUCUACCACUUGGAAACUCUGUCUCGUGUCAAAAGUUCUCAUUUUCGCUCCUUGGAGCUCUAAUUCACUUUUAACCGUUUCGAAACUCUCAGAAUUUAUUUCCAAGCAUGUCUAAAUCAAUUCUCAACUGUACUUUGUCCAAUUUCUCCAAAGUUUAGUAUAGUAUAUCGAAACUUGGUACACUAUAAUAGAUUUACGUGCUAUUAUACUCAGAAGGGGUCGCUCCCCUGGAGUGCCGUUCCAAAGGCUAGCCAGUGAUAGCAGAGACAGUAGCUAGGUGUUGUUGUCACAGAUGUGGGAGUGUGACCGCGCACUAGACGGUUUAUUGUAUUUACUUAUUAGUAUUAGCAUUGAUGCAUGAUUCAGUCACUUUCUUUUUUGUUCAUUACUUGUACAGGAAUAUGAUAGAUAGUGAAAAUUUAUUAUUCAUAUUAUGCUCUAUACCUCAGUUUAUAGUAGAUUUAGUUAUGUUUUACUUGUUCUUAUUUUCGGUAGACCUAGUGGGAAGAUUGUGGUGUCGCCGAUCAUACCCAUUAGAAACUGAUGUUUAGUAAUUCUCACACCCUCUUGUGGCUUACUUUUCAGAGAUUGGUGCACCUUUCGUUGAUCAAGAUAAGAAGAUCACGUAGUAGAUAGAAUCUCCAACCAGUGUACAUGUGUGUUAGAGGACCACCAAAUAAAGAGUUGUUUUGUACUGCAGAUCUGCGCUGGCGAGGGCCAGGGCCUUUUAUUUGUACUUUUACUUGUUGGGGUUUGAGAUUUAUAUGAUUUUUGUAUAUGAUAUGCAGUAGUUCAGCUUUACAUACAGUGCUCUGAUACAUGUCUAUAUCUUAUCUUAGUAGCUCUGGAACUGUUAUUCGUGGGUUGUGGCAUUGUUUAGUAGUGGAUUUUUAUGUUACUUGAUUUCGCUGUCGUUUCUGCUCUAUUAGUCGCUUACUCGCUUCGUGUGUAUAGAGUUGUGUACAUAUGGCGGUCUCUUGUCAUCCUCGUGCACUUCUGCUAUGGAAUUGUGGCGGGGCAGAGCGGGAGGUAGGUAUUUCAUAAUACUGAUGGCAGGUUAUCUUGCGUAUUAUAUAAAAUUACAAGUUUACCCCUCUAACCUCCAAACCCUUUCAAUCCAUCAUUUUUUAAAUUUUAAUUUAAAAUUUAAAAUUAUCAAAAUUUAAAAUUUGAAUUUAAAUUUUAAAUAUUAAUUUUUAGAUUUAAAUUUCUAAAUUUUAAAAUUCAAUUUUAAAUUUUAAAAUUUAAAUUUUAAAUUUCAAUUUUAAAUUUUAAAUUUUAAAUAUUAAAUUUUAUAUUUUAAUUUUAUAUUUUUAAAUUUUAAAUUUCAAAUCUUUAAAUUAUAAAUUUUUAAAUUUUAAACUUCAAAUUUAUAUUUUUGAACUCUAAAUUUAAAAUUUAUAUUUAUAUUUAUAUUUUAAAAUUUAAAUUUUAAAUUUAUAAAUGUCAUAUUUAUAUUUUAAAUUAAAAUAUUAAAUUUUAUAUUUUGGUUCGGAUUUAGAAUUUAAAAUUUAAAAUUUAAAAUUUAAAAUUUAAAUUUAAAUUCAAAUUUUAAAUUAUUUAAAAUAAAAUUUAGUAAAAAAAUUAAUUUUUGUAAGCAGUAAAAAUUUUUGCAAAUAUGACUAUACUUUGUUUUUCAGGAUUACUGAAUUUUAUUAGAUGCGUUAAGCAUAGUAAUUUUAUAUACACUGUAAUCUUGCAAUAUAUUACUGUAGUAAACCGAACGCAGUAAUGCAGCAUUAUUAGUAAUUUAAUUCAGAAAUCUCAGAUAUUUGGUUAUAUUGAAAUAAUCUGUUAUGCUACAUAACGCGAACCAAAUGCGCUUAAGAGUAAUUUCAAACAGUCGGUGUAUAAAAUGUGUAAAUAUAACUAGGGGUGUCAAUGUGUCACGCCCGGGUAUCAACGGAAGCAUAUCCGGUCGCGUGCACAGACCCGCCGUGUACACCACCACAACUCAAGUAUACACAAGGCGUCUACAAACCAUAUAGUAAAAGCAUAUAAAUCUAACCAGGUAAUCAGAGCACGACUUAAGUUUAAACUUAUACAAUCCAAACCUUAAUACAAGACAUAAGAAUAACGUACAAUUAACAAAAACUUAAUAUACAUCUCUGUACUAAACUAUAUAAACUGCCGGAGGUGAUCUAGUACACGUCCAAAAAGCCGCCGACCCCUCACCAGGAACCCUAGCCUUUUCCGCUGUGAAAGAUCUGUAAAAACAACAACAAGACCCGCCCGUGAGACUAUUAAACAAUUAGUUCCCAGUGGUAAAUCCCCCAGAAGGCCGAAAAAUACACCACUAGGUCAUCUGUUCAUGAGUAGAUGUAUAAUAAAAGCAAGUAAAUGCAAUAAAGUCCAGUAAAACCGCAUAACAACAUGUAAAAGUAAAUACUUCAUACUACUCUACUCGACAAUCAAUAAUACGAUAAGAUCUGAUGAUCUAAUUAUCACGAUGCAUUUCUAUCAAUCAUAUUUUUGGAAAUCUUAAUCAACAACAUAUACCCGUGCAAGCCAGAUAAUACAUAUUACCGGAUUACAGAUAAAUCAUAGUAUUGCUUUCACAUUAGGCAAGAAGAAACAUUUUAAUGUCGAUAACAAACAUAGCACGUCAACUCUAGUUAAUUCCGACUAAGUUCACUUAACCAAGACAUAUAGUAACUUUACUACUCUGUCCCAGCUAAUGUUAAUGUAUGCCUACAUAACCCACAUUUUCAAUGGACUAAAUACAGGUUAAGUUUCAACCGCCGCCGUUCUAAAUGCGCGUCUCCUGUGUAAUCCAAUCAUCUCCACCGUCAUGAAUGAGCUCCCCCCACGGAUUGUCAUUUCGGUGCUCCCCUUCGUCACAUUUGCGAGCAUAUCUGUCCUAGUCUUUCAGUGCUGCUUGGGGAAGCGCAUCCCUGCAAGCGUGUGACACGCAACACAAUGGCAGCCACCGAAUAGUCCACAGGACCAUCUCAACAAUCAUUACAUAUGUCCCUUGCACUAUGGGAUCUUCAAUCAAGCCACUUGCCGUGAACGCGGCUGCUUGGGGGCGCGACCGCCCCAACAUUACGAAAAGAGCAUAAUGCAUCUACAUAUAGUCCAGAUACAAAUACUCUCGACCACACAUUCUCUGACAUGGAAUAUACUCGAUCGCAAUCGCAACUGUAUGUAUCCCAAUUAAUGUCAUCUUAUCAACAACUUGUUGAUAAAAUUCUACCAGUCGUUAAUAUAACUUAACAAGUUAAAGCUUUACAUCGCACUAGUGAUUCUAUCAGACUAUACCUGGUCAGUCACUCACAAUCUCUCACUACUCCUUACACAUAAGGAAUGUGGUUUACUAAGGUUCUGAUCAUAGACUCCUGGCACAUAACGUGAAGUUCAAUAUAAACUUCUAUUACUUGAAGCAAACAACUAUGAAACAAUCACCUCUACUUAAAUAUACAAGUAUGUCAUUCUACUUUCUAGUUAUCUACUAGAUUAUAUUCAGUUGUGUAUCAUUCAAUUAUGCCAUCAUAUAAACUUCUAGUUACUUACUAGAAUAUAUACCACAAUAUGAAUCUAUCAUGUGAAUGUAGAAACUAACAGAGUAAUACAAGCAAGGAAUAUAAACGAUAGAAUACUUUUCACAUGAUCUCCAUGCCAUUCAUUCUACGAUUAGAAAUGCAUAUGCAAACACAAGCCUUUACCUGAUCUUUCAGAGUUUGGCCAUUAUGCUUGUUAUAUAACAUUGCAUUGCUCAAUCUUAAGUACAUCAGUCUCGUUGUUGUUCACCAGAACUAACUGGUCCAUUCACGAAUUUACCAUUCUAUCUUCAUGGAUAACAACAAGCCAAAUUGCAUGUGCAAGCUACUAGUGUCAUGAAUCCAUAGUACUUAACAGGUAACCAUAUAGAAUGGACAAGUCAUGAAUCUUUCAUUACCAUUUAAAGAUGCUAUCAUUUCCGAUAUGAUCUACAUAUCAGUGCAUGUCUCAAUGCCUUAAACUAUACCUAUAUUCACAUGAAUAUGGAAUAACAGCAACUCAGAUGUCAAAGGAGACAUAGAGGGAAUUCACCCAUUUCGGGAAGGUCCGACCCACCUAUCACCAAGCUCAAUCCAGCCAAAAGAAGUCUCGAAACUCUGCUCAACGGAGCCCCAACUCUGCUGACAACGAAAUACGAAGAAGCGCGAAUCAAUAACUACGGGGAAAUGUCCCAAUUCGGUGCAAUUUGCAUUAGUAUCAAGUAAUAAUUGAAGUCCCUAUUUUGGCCAUGUUAAGACCUCAAGUUAAGCUUCUAAAAGCCUUCACGCAUCAGCGGAGAUAAUCCAAAGUCCGUCGCAAUCCGCUGCAACAUUUCCAAUAGCAUCAAAGUCGUCAAUAGUAAUAACUAUAUGUCGGAAUCUUACGCAUUUAUCAGUUUGCCUACUGCCAAUUCCUGCUUACCUCAGUUAGAAACACUUCUAGCCAGUCCCAAGGUCCACCAAUUAAACUAAAUUAAUCCGCAAAUGCUGGCGAAGAGCACAAUCCUAACUGCAUUAAGCUAGUCAAAUAAACUUCUGUAAUCGCGAAAUUAGCUCAUACACACUCAUAAUUACCUUGGUCGCAGGCCUUGAAAUAGUUUAUCCAGUGGUCUAAGAUGGCUAACCUCACAGCUGAGACUCCUCUUUAGCUGGCUGCAAUCCCCUCAAAAUUCAAAGCCGAGGAGCAACAACACCAAACGGUCUCAAAUCCGACACUAACAUGAAUUAGGAGAGAAAAUCCAUUUAAUCUAUUCUCUAUCUCUCUUUCAUGAUUCUCAGCAUUAGAUCAUGAAUCAUAGCUGUCAAAAACACAUCCAUUUUACCUUUUAAAAGUUGCCCCAAUUCCACCUAAAACAAGGUGCGUCGAGUCCGACGCGAAAUCGGCGCAAAACGGCGACUCCUUUGUAGAGAGAGAAAAAUCCUAGAGAGAGAGAGAGAGAAAGGUGUAGGGCAGCUCCUCUGAGCUCUAGCACACUCCAGCAAGCAUCCCUGGUCGUGCUGGACUGAAAUAGAUAAGAACAAGAGGUGAAAUGACCAAAAGACCCUUGCUGCCACGUUUCUGCCAGUCUGUACCGGUACAAGGUAAUGGCUGUACCGGUACAGCAAGCAGAAAAUAUGCUGAUUUCGUCCGUUCAAUGCACUUGCUUGCUUUUAGUCAUCCAAUCACUCUUUAACUUGUACAAAAACUUGUCCAAGCCUUUUAAAACAUGUAGGGUAGUUCCACAUAUCAUUCCCACAUUCGAACUUCGCAAUUGACCAAAUUUAAAGCAUGCAAUUGAUAUUGCAUUUGUGAUGCAAUUUUCCAACUCCAGUUACUUUCUCACUUCAGUAACUUGUCAAAAUCUUUCUAAAGUCUAUCAAACGUCGUAGCUCAGUUCCAAAAGCCAUUCCAACCCUUGAACUUGUCAAUAAGCCCAGAUUCAGUAUAUUACACAAUGAGGCAGACACGAGCGAGUUGGGGCUGGCUUGUGUUUGGCUCAAUUUUAUAAAUGAGCAGAUCUCGAGCUAGCUCAUCAAACUAUCGAGUCGAAAAAUUCAGCUCUUAUUUGGCUCGUUUAUUACCGAGCAAAAUAUGAGCCGGCUCAUGAACAACAAGUUAAGGUGGUGUUUGGGUAGGGUAUGAGGGGAAUAAGCCCUUAUUCCCUUCCUUAUACCCAAACACUAUUUUUUUUUUUGGUGGGAACAAUAGUUCCCAUCCCUUAACGGGUUAUCCCAUUUUUCCCAACCCCUACCUGGAACAAGGUUUUUCCUGUUCUAGGAACAAGCUUAGGGGGGGGGGAGAGAGAGAGAGAGAGAGAGAGAGAUUUAAAUUUAUAAUUUUAAAUUUAUUAUAAAAUUUAUAAUUUUAAUUUGGGGGGGGAGAGAGAGAGAGAGAGAGAGAUUUAAAUUUAUAAUUUUAAAUUUAUUUUAAAUUUUAUAAUUUUAAUUUCAAAGUUAAAUUUAUAAUUUUUAAAAUCUCAAAUUUUAAAUUUUAGAUUCUAAAUUUAAAAUUUAAUUUUUUUUUAAUUUUUCAAAUUUAAAUUAAGUCUUAAAUUUAAAAUUAAAAUUUUUAUUUUUAAAAUUUAGAAUUUGAGAUUUUAAAUUUUAAAUUUUAAAUUUGAAUUUUUAAAUUUAAAAAUUAAAAUUUUAAAUUUAAAAAUUUAAAUAUGAAAUUUAAAAAUUUAAAAUCAAAUUCCAAUUUAAUGAGUGGAGUAAUAUUAUCAUUUUUUAUUUAUAACUACUUACUAUUUUUCUUAUUCCAUCUUAUUUAUCCAAAUGUUAUUUUUCUUAUUCCCCAUUUUUCUUAUUCCAUCUUAUCUAUCCAAACAUUAUUUUUCUUAUUCCUGAGAACAAUCCAAUUUUUAUCUAAAUACAAAAUUGGUCUAGUUCUUGUUUAUACUUAAACUUGUACUUUUUUCUAGAAGAAGCAGUUCUUUCUUCUAUCUGAACCAAACGAAGCCUAAAAGAUUAAAAAGGAUAUAUAUAGGAAAUUAAUUUACGAAAUCUAACUCAUUACACUUUGAUCUAAUGAUUGAAACUUUACACAUAAAUGGACUUUUUUAUAAUUGAGGUGGACUUUAUAUUUAGGUUAGGUUAAAAAUCAAAUAAUAAAAAUCUGCAUUAUAUAUAUAAUUAUUUAUUUAUAUAUAAAUAUAAAUUAUAUAAAUUAUAUAAAUAUAAAAUAUAUGUAUUCCAGUUGUUAUUAAACCGAACACAAGCGAGCUGACCCCAGCACGUGUUCGUCUUGUUUAUUACAUGAACUGAAAAAUUCAGUUUGUGUUCGGCUCAUUUACUAAACGAGCGAUUCGAUUUCGAGCUCAUUUCAAGUCGAACACAAGCCGACUCACGAAUUGCUACCCCUAAAUAUAUCUAGUGCAAUAAUAAUUAUUUUUCCUUAUAGAAUUUGCCCAUCUCCAAAAUGAAAGAAGGCGUCAGCUUAUCCAAUGAUUUAAAAAAAAAAAAAAAAUUGUUUUGAGGAAAAGGUAGCAUGCUACCCGUUUCAUUCAUUAAGAAGGUGAAUUAAGCUACAAGGGUGAGGCAUCUCUGGCCUCGAUAAUGGCAAAAUGAAACGGUGCACGAAACAAAAAAAAAAAAUUAUUAGCGAUUACGUUGGUGUCUCUCCACUGGGCUAAGGUGCUCCCACUGGUUCGUCAGCUCUUUAAUUUUGAAGGCUCCAGCACAUGGGUCUGUCCGAGUCAUCCGAAAGAUCGCACUGUUCCUGAUCUCCCAAAUGACCCACCAGCAGGCUAUUAGUCCAAUAAGUCUGUUGUUCAUCGAUUGCGCCCCCUUCCUUCCUUUCCAUCUAUCCCAUAUCAAGUUCACGUCUUCACCCAAAUCACCUGACUGGACAUCCUCGAGGGUCAUCACCAUAAGAAAUCUCUCUUAAGCAUAUUAUUUGCAGUAAGAGUUUCUUCUUAAGGACGAGCCAGCAGAAUACUUUCACUUUUAACGGUAUUCGAAGCCUCCAAAUCUUACUAGUAUGGCCGUCUCUCGUGCCACCAUCGCACAAUGCAGAAUAUGUUGAUUUCACUGUAAAACGUCCAUCGGGACUCCAUCGCGAAUGCACACUGUCUGGUCUCUGCUCAGUUUUGAAAUUACCAAUCCUUCCCUUGAGUGUUGUAAUGCUUGAAUUUACUCUGUGGUCAGCAGUGUUGUCGGAACCCAGAAUCUUGUACCAACACCAUCCGUUAUUAUCCAAGCAGUCACUAAUUUCAAGUUUUUACAAGUCGAUAAAUGAAACACCUUGGGAAAUGACGAUAAAAGAGUGGUUUCCCUACACCAACGGUCUGACCAAAAAUCGAUAUUACUCCCAUUGCCCAAUUUGUAAUAUGCUCCCCAUUUGAAGAUUUCCUUUUGACUUAGAACACCCUUCCACCAAAAAGAGGAUGGUCUAAAGAAUCUUCCCUCCUUCAAUGGUCUCCUUCUAAGAUAGAACAAAUCGUGGAUCAACUUGUUCCAUUGCAACUGAGGCGCAGUAAGAAAUUUCCACCACCAUUUAAUGAGAAGAGCUCGAUUCAUCACAACAAUAUCGAGGAUACCAAGUCCUCCCUCAUUCUUGUUCCUGCAAAUGCUCUUCCAGGAGAUUAGGCAUCCCUUACCAGGCAAGGUGUGUCCUCCGUUCCAGAAGAAAUCUCUUCGUAAUUCCUCUAUACGCUUGAUUGCCCAAUUAUGUGCCUUGAACACAGAGAGGAAGUAUAAGGGUAGAUUAGUGAGCACGGCGUUUACGAGAAUGAGUCUACCCUCUCUCGACAGGAGUUUCGCUUGCCAGCCAUCAAAUUUUUUUUUUUUUUUUUUUGAGAGAUAGGUAGCAUGCUACCCGCUUCGUUUAUUACAUUUACAAAUAAACUUAGCUGGAAAUGUGAAUUAACUAGGAUUCGAACUUGGGACCUUGGGUACCAACCACCAAGCUCUUUGCUACUUGCGCCAAGGACGGUCGGUGCCAGCCAUCAAUUUCACUUCGUAUUUUAGGGAUAAUCCCUCUCCAAUCUUCCUUAGAAGGGGGUCUAGUGGACAGAGGCAAGCCUAAGUACCUGUUAGGUAAAUUACCAACUUUACAUCCAAGUAAGUGGGCUAACCUUCUCGCUUUUCCCUCGACCUAUUCAAUAUAAUAGAGUUCCGACUUCUCUCUGUUAAUGCUCAUCCCAGACGCCCAUUCGAAGAGUUGCCAUAACAAUUUUAGAUUUCUCAUGUACUCUUUCUUGGCCUCGCAGAAGAAAAAAGUAUCAUUAGCGAAUUGAAUAAGGGUAAUCCUAGAUGCGACAGAGGGGCCAAUACCUUUAAUGAGGUUAUUAGAGCUUGCCUCAUUCGUCAACCGAGCAAGGCACUCUGCUACUAGUAGGAAGAAAAAGGGAGAGCAGGUCCCCCUGUCGUACUCCCCUCUUCAUCUUAAUCUAUUUGGUUGCCUCGCCGUUAAUCAAAACUGCAACCUUGGCAUUGCAAACACAGAGUUUGAUCCAGUUGCACCACUUUUCAUUGAAACCCCACCAAUUUAAAAUGCCAAAUAGGAAAGGCUAGUAUAUUCUGUCAUAGGCCUUUUCAAAAUCCACUUUUACUCCGACUCCCUCAACCGCAUGCUUGCUUCCCCAACCAAUCAGCUCGCGUACUGCUGCAAAAGCGUCUGUGAUGUUUCUCCCCUUCAAGAAUGCUGAUUGAGAAGGGGAUAUCGGUUCGCUCAUUAUAUGCUCCAACCGAUUGGCUAAAACCUUAGAUAAGAUCUUCUGUAUCCCGUUAAGUAGACUUAUGGGUCGAUAAUCAUCCGCCCGUUUAGCUCCUUCUUUCUUCGGAAUUAGACAAACGUAGGCAUAAUCAAUGGGGCUGGUAGACAGAUUCCCCUCAGACAUCUCCUGGAAAAGAUACGAGAUAUCCCCUUUGAGAGUGUCCCAGAAUGUUUGGUAGAAGCUCAAUGGAAAGCCAAGCAACAGCGGCUAUACUAAAAGCAUAACAAUAAAAAUAUAAAAGGAUAGAAAAAGAAUAAAAAAGAAAUUAUAAAAAUAAUAAAUUAUAUUUAAAAUAACAGUAAAAGUUGAGGAUUAAAAUAUAAUAUACCUCAUAGUUCGAGUCAAAAAUUG